CCUACGGGGGGCAGCAGUGGGGAAUAUUGGACAAUGGGGGCAACCCUGAUCCAGCCAUGCCGCGUGUGUGAAGAAGGCCCUAGGGUUGUAAAGCACUUUCAGUGAGGAAGAACGCCUGGUGGUUAAUACCCAUCAGGAAAGACAUCACUCACAGAAGAAGCACCGGCUAACUCCGUGCCAGCAGCCGCGGUAAUACGGAGGGUGCGAGCGUUAAUCGGAAUUACUGGGCGUAAAGCGCGCGUAGGUGGCUUGAUAAGCCGGUUGUGAAAGCCCCGGGCUCAACCUGGGAACGGCAUCCGGAACUGUCAAGCUAGAGUGCAGGAGAGGAAGGUAGAAUUCCCGGUGUAGCGGUGAAAUGCGUAGAGAUCGGGAGGAAUACCAGUGGCGAAGGCGGCCUUCUGGACUGACACUGACACUGAGGUGCGAAAGCGUGGGUAGCAAACAGGAUUAGAUACCCCGGUAGUC
rnacentral:rRNA from 1 species